UAAAAGUUUUAUUCUUGCUUGAGAGGAUUUACGUUGGUUUUGUUUUGCAUGCAAAUUUUAGUGUUUGGGUUUAGGAGCCUACCUAGAAGGUGGGGGUUGGCUUAGAGUGCUGAAUUUCAGGGGCUAGGCAGUAUUGAGUAUUAUAAAUCAGGUAUAUCUGGAUUUAGUAGAAUUAUUUAGCGUCGGCCAAAGUUGUGCCAGCCGCCGCGGUUAUACAACGGAUGCAAGUAAAUCUCAUUGGUUGGGUAGUUAUAUUGGUGAUGUGAUUAAUAAGGUUGAUACGUUCAAUGUUUUAUGGGUGGAAUUUUUAUAUUGAGCCUAGUUAUCUUUAACAAGUGUAGUAGAAGCUAUGAAAUUUGAGUGUUAAACUAGGAUUAGAUACCCUAUUAUUUUAAAUGUAAAUUUUAUUGAUCGGAGUAGUAGUAGUUAUGGUCUUGGAACUCAAAGAAUUUGGCGGUGUUUUAGUCCUUUCAGAGGAACCUGCCCCGUAAUUGAUACUCCACGUUAAAAUCUUACUUGGUCUUGUUGUUCAGUUUGUAUACUUCCGUCGUCAGAAUAUUCUUGUAGGAUACAAUUUUCUGUACCUUGGAAUAAAGGGGAUGUCAGGUCAAGGUGCAGCUGAUGGUUAAGUGGAGGUGGGUUACAAUAGGUAAACUUAUUGCGGAUGAAUGGUUGAAAAUAGCUGUUCUGAAGAUGGAUUUGAUUGUAAUUUUGUUGUGUAUUGAAACAGUUUGAUUUAGGCUCUAAAACAUGCACACAUCGCCCGUCGCUCUCGUUAAUUAAGGUGAGAUAAGUCGUAACAUAGUAGAUGUACCGGAAGGUGUAUCUGGAAAGUU
rnacentral:ncRNA from 1 species